rnacentral:rRNA from 1 species
GAACGAGGUGUAGCAAUACGCUUCGUGGCGAACGGGUGCGUAACACGUGGAUAACCUUCCUUCAGGUGGGGAAUAACCCAGUGAAAAUUGGGAUAAUACCGCAUAACAAGACGGGGGCACAUGCUCUUGUCUUCAAAGGCGCAAGUCGCCGGAAGAGGGAUCCGCGGCCGAUUAGCUUGUUGGCGGGGUAAAAGCUCACCAAGGCAACGAUCGGUAGCUGGUCUGAGAGGACGACCAGCCACACUGGGACUGAGACACGGCCCAGACUCCUACGGGAGGCAGCAGUGGGGAAUCUUGGACAAUGGGGGAAACCCUGAUCCAGCCAUGCCGCGUGAGUGAUGAAGGCCCUAGGGUUGUAAAACUCUUUCGGCGGGGACGAUAAUGACGGUACCCGCAGAAGAAGCUCCGGCUAACUUCGUG